rnacentral:lncRNA from 1 species
UUGUAUUGAGACACUGCUAGUUUAAUUUUAGCAUGGUGACUACUGAGGCCAUGUUUUCUUAAGCAUUCAGGUGAUGAAAAUGAGGAAAUGGUGUUGCAAUAUCAAUGCCCGCGUGACCCAAAUGGCCAUGUUAUUUUAACGACAGGAGGAGUGACACAGACAACUGGAUGAGGGAGGCUGUAACUGAAAUAUCACGUGGGUGAACAAAGGGAGAAAUGUCGAUGGCAGCUGUGUUGACCCUUUACAACAUGCAGCGGAUUCUGCCAGAUCCCACCAACAAUCAUGCUUUCUACAGUAACCAAGUGCUGCAUCCAAUCAUGGCAAU